rnacentral:rRNA from 1 species
GAGCUUUAUUUUUAUUUUUUAUGAAUUAAAGGAAUUUUGAAAAUUUAUAAUAAAAUUAAAAAUUUUAUUGGGGUGGUAUUAAAAUUUAAUUAACUUUUAUUUUUUAUUACAUUAAUAUAUGAAUAUUUGAUCCAAUUUUAUUGAUUAAAAAAUUAAGUUACCUUAGGGAUAACAGCGUAAUUUUUUUUUAGAGUUCAUAUCGACAAAAAAGAUUGC